AGCCCCAUCGUCUAGUGGUCAAGGAUAUGGGACUCUGACUCCCAGGACCUGCGUUCGAAUCGCAGUGGGGCUA
rnacentral:tRNA from 1 species